rnacentral:ncRNA from 1 species
AAAGAUUACUUUUAUAGAAUUUAAAUUUGAUUAUGGUUUAUGAAUUUCUAAAAUGGUAUUAUUUAAGUUUAAUUUAUAAUGUGGGCAAUAGAAUUUUACCCCGGCAAUUAAUUAUUUGUAUAAUACUUGUUCCAGAAUAAUCGGCUAUGCUUGUUAAAUUUAAGCUUUAUUUUGUUUUAACUAUGACUAUUGAUUUAGUAAUUUUAAUAAUUAUAGGUUAAAUUUUAAUUAAUUUUUAAAAUAGAGUUUUAGUUUUAAGAUUUGAUAAUUAAAUUAGAUUAGUACCUAAUUAGACAAAAAUUAAAAAAGCAGUAGUAAAGUGGUAUUUAAACUGAAAAAAUAUUGGCAGAUAUUUCUAAAUUAUCUUUGGAGGUUGAGUAAUAAUUGAGAACCCUCAUUAACUACUUUAGUAUUUGGUCUCAUGUAUGAUCGUUUAUUUUAUACUUAAGGUAUAUAAUAAAAAAUUAUUUAUUUAUAAAAAUAGAUAUAUAUUUGGUUUAUGAAGAAGUAAAAUUUGACCUACAAUAUGUUAAUUUUGUGGAUUUAUAGUGUAGUGUUAUAAUGAAAAUGUAAAAGACAGUAAAAAAAUUUUUAUGAUUUUUUGAAGAUUAUUUAGAUGUGGUACAAAUCAUCCAUCAAUUGCCUAAAGGGGAGUAAGUUGUAGUAAAGUAGAUUUAGGGGAACCUGAAUCUAGUAAU